UUCGUGGCUUUUUAUUCCGGUCUUUGUUGACAGCCCGCAGGAAGCUGUGAUUCACUUCAAUCUCAUUUAUUCUUCUUUUUCUGACUAAAAAAAACUACUCUGCCACAACUUAACCCGCUCUACAUGACAACAAUGGAGGAAUACCACAGCGGCAGCGAGAGCUCUUUCCACUCGGACGAGGCGGAUAGCAUCGUGAAAGAGUGUAUCGAGGGGGUGGUGGGAAAUGACGACUACAGCCAGAGUUUGGUGAACA